rnacentral:rRNA from 1 species
GAUGAACGCUGGCGGCGUGCCUAAUACAUGCAAGUCGAGCGAAUGGAUUGAGAGCUUGCUCUUAUGAAGUUAGCGGCGGACGGGUGAGUAACACGUGGGUAACCUGCCCAUAAGACUGGGAUAACUCCGGGAAACCGGGGCUAAUACCGGAUAACAUUUUGAACCGCAUGGUUCGAAAUUGAAAGGCGGCUUCGGCUGUCACUUAUGGAUGGACCCGCGUCGCAUUAGCUAGUUGGUGAGGUAACGGCUCACCAAGGCAAAGAUACGUAGCCGCACUGAGAGGGUGAUCGGCCGCACUGGGACUGAGACACGGCCCAGACUCCUACGGGAGGCAGCAGUAGGGAAUCUUCCGCAAUGGACGAAAGUCUGAAGGAGCAACGCCGCGUGAGUGAUGAAGGCUUUCGGGUCGUAAAACUCUGUUGUUAGGGAAGAACAAGUGCUAGUUGAAUAAGCUGGCACCUUGACGGUACCUAACCAGAAAGCCACGGCUAACUACGUGCCAGCCGCCGCCGUAA